rnacentral:siRNA from 1 species
AGCAAGUUUGUUCACCGGAGCCU